rnacentral:lncRNA from 1 species
UAUGAGAUAGUACGAGUGCUCUUUGGAUAUAUAUUUAUACUCGUUUUGACCGGUAAUAUCUAAUAUAUUUUUAACAACGGUAAUAUCUGAUACUAUUAAGAAAAUCACUUUUUCCUUUUUUACGAGUCUUUCCUUUUUAGAAAAAAGGAUAUUUGAGAUAAUCCAAAAACAUAUAUAUAAGCUACUUUCUUUCUACCUUUGGACUCAUGUUGACCAGAUCCAUUUAUAAACUUACAUUGAACUCAUGUUGACCAGUAUAUAACAUCAUGGGCUUAGCAUUAGAUUUAACUCCAAUACAAGCAUUGCCUCCGCAAAUCACCUUUGUAAUUCAGAUUGUUUGCGACAAAGUCAGAAUGGGAGACAAAAAUUGACACCAAGGGUAGCAACAAACUUGUAUAUAGACAGAGUAAGUAAGUUUAUCUUUUAACUGAAGCUGGAGGAUAUCACUGAAACAACUGCUAGUACUUCUGUUUAAGACCAGAUUCAUUUGACUUUUUGGAUUUGCUCAAAUUAAAAAAGUAAAUCUUAUCCUCUUAGAUCCGGUUCCAAAUGGCGAAUCCCUAGUUCCCUAGCAACGAUGCUUCUACCACAAGACCUCCGCUUCUCACCGCCAGUAAAAGUCAAACCCUCAUCCCCCUAUCCAUCCCGACCCUCCUGACCCCAACUUCCCUCCUCUUGUCAACUCCCCUCCUCUCACCGUCGAGAACUACAAACUACCAAGUUAUCCAAGGCCGUAGCAUCGACUUCUUCUUUGUCCUCUUCUUCCUCUUCUCCUAUUGCAGUUAGUCAACCCAGUCCAGCUGCACCGUUGACCGCUCCUCUUGCAACACUGCCUCUUACAGUUAGCUCUGAGAAGUCUGGUAAAUCCAACCUUGAUAACUUUAAAGUUAUUCCUCUGAAGCUCUUCUCUCCCAUUCAAAAUAACAGAGCAUCAUUCAGUUUUGGUCAUGUCCCUAUUACUUUGCCUCCUCCUAGUGUGGACCUUAACCCUAUCCUCCCAACUCCCGUUCCUGCUGUGCCUCCUAAACCCUCAAAACCUCAACCCCUGCAAACCCUCCUGUUAUCCCCACCUCAAAC